rnacentral:rRNA from 1 species
CCUACGGUGCGCAGCAGUCGAGACUCAUUCACAAUGGGGGAAACCCUGAUGGUGCGACGCCGCGUGGGGGAAUGAAGGUCUUCGGAUUGUAAACCCCUGUCAUGUGGGAGCAAAUUAAAAAGAUAGUACCACAAGAGGAAGAGACGGCUAACUCUGUCCCAGCAGCCGCGGUAAUACAGAGGUCUCAAGCGUUGUUCGGAAUCACUGGGCGUAAAGCGUGCGUAGGCUGUUUCGUAAGUCGUGUGUGAAAGGCGCGGGCUCAACCCGCGGACGGCACAUGAUACUGCGAGACUAGAGUAAUGGAGGGGGAACCGGAAUUCUCGGUGUAGCAGUGAAAUGCGUAGAUAUCGAGAGGAACACUCGUGGCGAAGGCGGGUUCCUGGACAUUAACUGACGCUGAGGCACGAAGGCCAGGGGAGCGAAAGGGAUUAGAUACCCGAGUAGUC